rnacentral:rRNA from 1 species
AUUGAACGCUGGCGGCAUGCUUUACACAUGCAAGUCGAACGGCAGCGCGGGCUUCGGCCUGGCGGCGAGUGGCGAGCGGGUGAGUAAUGCAUCGGAACGUGCCCAGUAGUGGGGGAUAGCCCGGCGAAAGCCGGAUUAAUACCGCAUACGACCUGAGGGUGAAAGCGGGGGACCGAAAGGCCUCGCGCCAUUGGAGCGGCCGAUGUCGGAUUAGCUAGUUGGUGGGGUAAAGGCUUACCAAGGCGACGAUCCGUAGCUGGUCUGAGAGGACGACCAGCCACACUGGGACUGAGACACGGCCCAGACUCCUACGGGAGGCAGCAGUGGGGAAUUUUGGACAAUGGGGGCAACCCUGAUCCAGCCAUGCCGCGUGCGGGAAGAAGGCCUUCGGGUUGUAAACCGCUUUUGUUCGGGAAGAAAUCCUCUGGGCUAAUACCCCGGGGGGAUGACGGUACCGGAAGAAUAAGCACCGGCUAACUACGUG